GUUGUGUUGUUGUUUUGUGU
rnacentral:miRNA from 1 species